rnacentral:rRNA from 1 species
UUGAACGCUGGCGGCAGGCCUCACACAUGCCAGUCGAACGGUAACAGGAAGAAGCUUGCUUCUUUGCUGACGAGUGGCGGACGGGUGAGUAAUGUCUGGGAAACUGCCUGAUGGAGGGGGAUAACUACUGGAAACGGUAGCUAAUACCGCAUAGCGUCGCAAGACCAAAGAGGGGGACCUUCGGGCCUCUUGCCAUCGGAUGUGCCCAGAUGGGAUUAGCUAGUAGGUGGGGUAACGGCUCACCUAGGCGACGAUCCCUAGCUGGUCUGAGAGGAUGACCAGCCACACUGGAACUGAGACACGGUCCAGACUCCUACGGGAGGCAGCAGUGGGGAAUAUUGCACAAUGGGCGCAAGCCUGAUGCAGCCAUGCCGCGUGUAUGAAGAAGGCCUUCGGGUUGUAAAGUACUUUCAGCGGGGAGGAAGGGAGUAAAGUUAAUACCUUUGCUCAUUGACGUUACCCGCAGAAGAAGCACCGGCUAACUCCGUG